AGAUGGGGUGUCAGAUAUUGACAAUGGAGGCCCAAAUGAAGACAAGAAGAAUGGGAAAUUAGGGAUUGGUCUCAACUUUGGGACUAUGUUUGUCUGAAGUUGAAAAAAGCCACCAAAUGUGCCCAUUCGUGUAUUUUUUUUUAACACCCCAACAUAAUGUCCCACCAUGAAGGGGACAUCUCCCCUUAGCUAUCCCUUU